CCUACGGGCGGCUGCAGUGGGGAAUAUUGGACAAUGGGGGGAACCCUGAUCCAGCCAUGCCGCGUGUGUGAAGAAGGCCCUCGGGUUGUAAAGCACUUUCAGUGAGGAAGAACGCCUGGUGGUUAAUACCCAUCAGGAAAGACAUCACUCACAGAAGAAGCACCGGCUAACUCCGUGCCAGCAGCCGCGGUAAUACGGAGGGUGCGAGCGUUAAUCGGAAUUACUGGGCGUAAAGCGCGCGUAGGUGGCUUGAUAAGCCGGUUGUGAAAGCCCCGGGCUCAACCUGGGAACGGCAUCCGGAGCUGUCAAGCUAGAGUGCAGGAGAGGAAGGUAGAAUUCCCGGUGUAGCGGUGAAAUGCGUAGAGAUCGGGAGGAAUACCAGUGGCGAAGGCGGCCUUCUGGACUGACACUGACACUGAGGUGCGAAAGCGUGGGUAGCAAACAGGAUUAGAUACCCGAGUAGUC
rnacentral:rRNA from 1 species